CAGGGAAGGUAGAAGUAGUAGAGAAGGUAGGUUAAAUUUACAUUGUAGCCUCAUUUUCUUGAUUUGACAGGGCAAAGAGAGAAACCCCAGAAGCCAUGUAUCUUGAGUUUUAUUCCAAGUUGGUUACAAAGAGCAAAUUAAGAAAAUAGCCUGGCUGUGGCAAGGGACCUCUGAUACGCCUUGGAGCCGAUGGGACUGGCCUGGGAGGCACCCAAAGUUUCUUUGGCUGUGAUGCAUUAGAGAACUCCUUCAUGCAGAAUGGGAGGGACACCGCACUCAGCCCCUUGGAUGACAGAGCACGGAUGGGCAGCAAUCCUGCAGCUGUGCCUGUGGUGGGUGAGACAACUCCUACACCUCCUUGACUCCUUUUUGCCUUUCUGCCACUCUGCCUUCCCAAAUCCACUCACUUUGCAGCUGAAGGCCAGCCAGGUAGGUCUGCUGGCUGCCUGGGGUCACCGAGCAAGAGGCAGACUGUGGCACUAUGCUGCAAGUAUGGGAAGCGUGGACUUAGAUUUGUGGAGGCUGCAAGGAAGGAGCAGUCUGGUGAGUGUUCAGACAGAUGCUGCAUUCAGUCUGGGAGGCAGAAGAAGAAAUGCACCCUACUUAUUUAUAGGAAGAUGGAAGUUGCUGUGCUAGGCCAAGUGAUUAAGUCUGGUAUCCUGCUUCAGACAAUGAUGAAUGCUGGCUGCUAGAGGACAUGCAAGAAAUGGUGUAGUAAAACAAAGAUAGAAUCACUCAACAUGAACAUUUCUCAUCAUCCCACUGAUAUCUAGGUCACUAGUUAACCAUGUCAACAGCUAGUGACCAGCAUGAGGUGGGAAGGAUGAAGGCUUUACGCUGAACUAUUCUGGUUGAUGUCCUGCAUGAUUCCUUUCACUUAGCUGAAAUGAAAAUGAAGAAUAAAUGAUACCCUCCUUAUCCCGUUCCUUCUGAAAUAUAUGACAAACCUUGUAUUGUUAUCAAAGGUACAGGAUCAAACCUGUCAUUAUCUCACAUACAGCACAAUAAAUAUCGUGACUAGGAGUUAACAGUGCAUCAAAAAUGAUCAUCUCUAAGUCUUGUUGGCAGGCUUUACGUGAACCAAACCCAGGCUGUCAGCUGCGUUCUGUAAUGACAAUGCAGCAGCUCCUCUGUAUUAUCAUUUUCUGUCAGUGCAUACUACAGGUGAAAAAUGCAAGUGAACAGUAUUUUACAUGCACAGAUACAUAACUGAUUAUAUUAUGAAGAACUGCAAGAACAAGACACUUAUUUUUCACUUUUAGGAAUUUGAAUGAGGAGAUCUCAUUACCCAGAAUCAGGAUACAUCUUGCUUGAUGAAUACAAUAACGAAUGGGUUCUUCAAAUCCCUAAUUCACAAGCAUUUCAGAGAGACAGUUCAGCAGCCCAAGAAAGAUGUACUAUUCCUAGAAAUCUUGUGACUCAACUCCUGUCCUGUAUCUGCCAGUGAUUCAAUAGCAUGGCAGCUGAGCACAAACAUGCUUCUGUUAGCAAAGAGGAAGAAGCUGGGCAGAUGGAAAUGGUCUGUGUGGGUGCCAAGGUGGGUCAUCGCACCUGGUCAGGGUUGUAAGAUCGGUGAUACGUGUAAGGCGAUCAGGCUUGCAGGAGGAAAAUCUGAGUUGCCUGUCACUGUGUGGUGGUAAGAAAGGAGGAUGCACAAGGAGAAUGAUAAGCUUGAUGAGCACUUAGGAAGAGGAAAAUGAGGGGUAAUAGUGCUUCCUUUCUAUUUGUUUAACUAGUAAUUUGCUUACCUUUACCUUUAGAUUGAAUACUUUGCCUAAGAAAGCAGUGGCUGCAGCACUUAGUGUGCAGACUUCUGUAGAUUUACAGACAUUGUGUGACAUGGUUGGAGAGAAGAUGGAUUAUCAGCAGGUAGCCAGCAGCCUGGGGAGGGGUUCUUGAGAUUUGUGUGUUUCCAUGGGCAUCUCCUCAAGUCCACCGGUGUGCUGUAGAUUUGGAAAAAAACCAGACUGUGUUCUAUUUAUGAAAGCGAUAAUGACAUCAGGACAAAACUACAUGAUCCACGUAGUUCCUGAAGCUAGGGGUUACUCACAGGAUAUUGCUAGGGCAUCAGAUAAAAAUUUUAACAAGUGGGUGUAAAAAUUUCAUCAUAAGCCUGUCUUUAGGAACCCAAGGAACUGCUCCUAUUUUCAAAAGUGUGGAAUCAUUGACAACUUCAGCUGCUCUCUUCCUCCUGCUUUUAUUUUGUGAAUGGAGUAGGGCUCAGUCUUUCAGACUUUGUGGGAGUUGUUCUAGUUGCCUGAAUUGGUAUCAUGUGUAACAAACUGGUAGGAUGGGUCGGCUACUUUUCCUGUCUUUUAUUUGAAGUUCUUUAAAAUUAUAAAAUCUCUGCAGAGGCAUAAGCCAUCAAAACAUAAAUAAAUGGAAAAGAAAUUUUUCUGUUAAAUACCUUCUUCCUCUCUACUCCAGCCUCCUGGUUGGAGGUUCCUUCCUAUCACUUCUGCUCCCUGCACCAACCAGCACGUGGACACAUCACUCCUGCCUCCCAGUGGCUCCCUGGGGAGAGAAGAACCUGCCCAAAUUAUCCUAAAGAGUGAUUGUGGCUUCACUGAUUAAACUCCUUAGGGUAGUGAUGUACCCAAAAAGGCUGAUGACUGCAAGUGAUGCUUAGUUUCAAGCAUAGUUCCAAGGGCAAAAAAGGCUCCUCCUGCCAAAUUUGGUUAGUUUUCCCAGUUUAAAUGUUUGUUGACGACUUGCAUGUGUGAAUAGGUCUUGCCAUAAGCUAUCUUCCUCAAACAAUCUCAGUUACAUUGGUCUUAUUGCCCACUUCCGUUGACAGCCUUUUGGAGGGAGGAGAGGAUGUCAUGAAUGCAGAAGUGCAUCCCCAUUAGUUGGAUAUUUUUAUUUUUCCCAGCACAUGGAUCUAAGAUGGCCCUGCUGUCUUCUUGCUGUAACUUAAUUGCAUGGAUCAGAAUUCGAUUCACAUUAGUUUUCUGGCCCUAAAUGCUGAAAGUCUAGAACUAUUCAAGAGAAUAACUUUAUGUCAUAACAGCCUUACUCUUACUGCCAUUAAUGUUUCUUGAUCAUCUCUAUUUCAGCCAUGUAGAGGCACAUAACUGAGGUAUUCCUUGGGUAGCAAGAUGGUUUCUGUCAGUUGGGGCUUGAAGACUUUUGGAACAACAUCAUUUCUAGCACAGAAACAUCAGGAAGGUUGGGAGCCCAUCAGGGACCUGAUUGCAAGACAUGUUGUCCUGAUUCUUCCAUUUUGUAAUGUGGAGGGAUCCAGCUGUUUGACAACCACAAAUCACACUGAAGCCUCGAGCAGUAUAACUGAUUUCCUGGUGGACUCGGGGUGAUCAGUGUCCUGGACCAGACAGCCCAGGACAUGGCUUUUCUCUGUGUUUGAACUUUUACAGGUCUGUGGGCUUCAGGCAGCCUCCUUCUCUACCACUGGAAGAAUCAACUUUAUAUUCAGUAAGUUCAAAAGAGGACCUUAACUUCCAGCCAGAUGUGCUGAUCUGUGGGGCAUGUCUGGGCGUAUGUGGCAUGAGAAGAGGCUGUCAUCUAUGGGCCUGUGUUUGCAAAAGACUUGUAGGACUGCUACCUACAAGUGGCUUUUGGGGACAGCCGUGUCCAUGCUCUUGGGCAUACAUCCACUCUCUUAAGCAACUGAGCAAGCACCCAGAAAGACAGACGGGUGCUGCACUGCAUACAUCACUUCCUAAACAUUGCCCUGUCUCUAAUCCACAGCUGCUGUGGAUUUUCCUAUCAGCAUAAGGCCACUUCAUCUGAAUAAGCAACAACAGGAUCUGAAGAAGCAAUAGAUUUUGAGACAACUGGGGCAAUCAUACUUUGAUCUCUGGCAAAGCCCAAGGGCUUGAUUAUUAUCCGGUGGAAGGAGCUGAGACAAAUGAGUUUUCAGGAGUAGGGAUCUCAAAGAGUUCAGGCUGGAGGUGGAAUAGAGUGAGGGGUGAGGGGGUGUGCCCUCCUCCCAGGAUAACAAGGUCAGUCAUUAGCAAGCCACAGGGUCCUCUCGAGCCCAGCACUUUACAGGGCUCACAUGCAUUUUGUAGGAGCAGGCAGGAAUGGUUCUUUCCAUAGACCUCUGCCACUUCUUUGGAAGCUGAUCAAACCUGUUUUAUUAAAAACCACCAUUGACUUCUAAUAUUUUUACACUGAUUAAGAACAUUGACUUGGCUGACUGAACAAGGGAACCAAUUGUAGCUCAGCUGCUUCAUGCUGGAAAAGCUUUGAUCAGACUGAGUGGGCGUCUAUGUUUAAGGUACCCUAUAAAAUGAAUUUUGGUGAUAAGCUUAUAAACUGAAUUUGAACCUUGCACAGGCUCCAGAGAAGGAAUAAAAAGCUCAAUUUAUAUUCUCUACAGAUACACACCAAGAUGUCCCUUUAACCUUUGGUUGUUUUACCUAGGGGGUCAAUAUGUUUCUUAAACCGUUUGAAAUUAUUUGUACAGAUUAGCUGCCUGUGCUGAAGAUGGAGAGCUUUCAGGGUGGCUCCCAGGAGUCCUGAAACCAACUAUAAUGAAUGAGUUUGGUAUUUUACUUGGAGGAAAAAAUGCUGAAUGAGUUACAGAGCUGCCAGAUAGUCCCAGUUCAUUCACACAGACUUGAGGAUAAUGUGCUUCUCUUGAUCCCAACGUGGUAUCAUUAGAAAAGCUUAUUUCAAGGAUAUUCAUGUCUGACAUCUUCCCUCCCUCAUUACUUAUCAGGCUCUAUAGUUACACACAACAGUGAAUUGCCAUUAGAAGACAACAGUACCUGGGGGAGCAUGUAGUGGGGUUCAUCUCCCCUUUCCACUGAAGCUGGUAACCAAACUUGCAUGGGAUCAAAUGGAAGCAAGAGCAGGUGGUCAUACUGUGAAAUCCUCCAGUCCAAUACAUCCGGGGGCGGGGGGGUGCACAUGCGUAGGAAUCAGUCUGAAGAGUUUGGUAACUGGUCAAGUAAUUAUUCAUCACCAGUGGUGAGUACAGCGCAUAUCCCAGCACAGCCCUCGUGGAGAGUCCGAGGCUGCCACAAACCCUGGGCACAAAGGAAUCAUCACAGUAGUGAUGGGGUCUUUGCCCCGGAGAGAUUUUCUUUAGAUGGUGGGUGAGGUUGUGAUCUGUCUGAACAAGUGUCUAAAUAUUUCAUCAGAGGAGUCAUCUGUCCCACAGCUAUAGGAAAAGAGAGACUUUUGUUUGCAUUUUCUCAAGGCUGAGGGCUGGAAGUGAGAAACCCAAGGUCUGGCUCUUUGAUGGCCUUCUGCAUACCUGUGGGCAAGCUGCGCUACUCCGGCACUCUCCCCAUGUCUGCUCUGAAAGGUAAUUGCUGAGACCUGGCAGCACCCUGAGUUUCUGCAGAUAUUUCCCCUUCCCUGCUUCAAAACAAAUCCACUUCAUUUAUCAUAAUAAAGGAAACA